rnacentral:rRNA from 1 species
AGAGUUUGAUCAUGGCUCAGAUUGAACGCUGGCGGCAUGCCUUACACAUGCAAGUCGAACGGCAGCACGGGGGGUAACCCCUGGUGGCGAGUGGCGAACGGGUGAGUAAUAUAUCGGAACGUGCCCUGUAGCGGGGGAUAACCUAUCGAAAGAUGGACUAAUACCGCAUACGCUCUACGGAGGAAAGCGGGGGUCGCAAGACCUCGCACUAUAGGAGCGGCCGAUAUCGGAUUAGCUAGUUGGCGGGGUAAAAGCCCACCAAGGCGACGAUCCGUAGCUGGUCUGAGAGGAUGAUCAGCCACACUGGAACUGAGACACGGUCCAGACUCCUACGGGAGGCAGCAGUGGGGAAUUUUGGACAAUGGGCGCAAGCCUGAUCCAGCCAUGCCGCGUGAGUGAAGAAGGCCUUCGGGUUGUAAAGCUCUUUCGGCAGGAACGAAAUGGUUCGUGCUAAUACCACAGACUGAUGACGGUACCUGAAGAAGAAGCACCGGCUAACUACGUGCCAGCAGCCGCGGUAAUACGUAGGGUGCAGGCGUUAAUCGGAAUUACUGGGCGUAAAGCGUGCGCAGGCGGUUUCUUAAGUCAGAUGUGAAAGCCCCGGGCUUAACCUGGGAACUGCGUUUGAAACUGGGAGACUUGAGUGUGGCAGAGGGGGGUGGAAUUCCACGUGUAGCAGUGAAAUGCGUAGAUAUGUGGAGGAACACCGAUGGCGAAGGCAGCCCCCUGGGUUAACACUGACGCUCAUACACGAAAGCGUGGGGAGCAAACAGGAUUAGAUACCCUAGUAGUCC